CCUGCCGGACCCCACUGCUAUNGGGAUAGGANUANGACNUGCUAGUCAAGNGNUUCUAGCUAAUGUGAGAGCGCGGCGUACAGCUCAGUAACACGUGGCCAACCUGCCCUUGGGACGAGAACACCCCCGGGAAACUGGGGUUAAUUCUAGAUAGGUGAAGAAGUCUGGAAUGAAUCUUCGCUUAAAAGACGUUUAUGUCAUGCUCAUAUUCGUCGCCCAGGGAUGGGGCCGCGACCGAUCAGGUAGUUGGUGAGGUAAUGGCUCACCAAGCCUUUUACCGGUGCGGGCCGUGAGAGCGGGAGCCCGGAGAUGGGCACUGAGACAAGGGCCCAGGCCCCACGGGGCGCAGCAGUCGCGAAAAUUUUGCAAUACACGAAAGUGUGACAGAGCUAUCCCGAGUGCCAUCCGCUGAGGAAGGCUUUUACCCAGUAUAAAUAGCUGGGAGAAUAAGGAGAGGGCAAGUCUGGUGUCAGCCGCCGCGGUAAUACCAGCUCUCCGAGUAGUGUGGACGUUUAUUGGGCCUAAAGCAUCCGUAGCUUGCUAGAUAAGUCCUCUGUUAAAUCCACCGAUUCAAUCGUUGGAUUGCGGGGGAUACUGUUUGGCUAGGGGACGGGAGAGGUCGACGGUAUUUCCGGGGUAGGGGUGAAAUCCUAUAAUCCCGGGAAGACCACCAGUGGCGAAGGCUGUCGACUAGAACGCGCCCGACGGUGAGGGAUGAAAGCUGGGGGAGCGAACCGGAUUAGAUACCCGGGUAGUCCCAGCUGUAAACGAUGCAGGCUAGGUGUUUGGGCGGCCACGAGCCGCCCUAGUGCCGCAGGGGAGCUGUUAAGCCUGCCGCCUGGGGAGUACGGCCGCAAGGCUGAAACUUAAAGGAAUUGGCGGG
rnacentral:rRNA from 1 species